CGACAAAGCCACCGCGCCAGAAAAUUCCGUCGUCGGUGCUCGAAAUUCUCGACCGCCAGUAGAUACAGUUAAAAGCUUAGCAUUCGGACACCAAUUCGAGAGAUGGUGAAGGGAG